rnacentral:rRNA from 1 species
UGUUCCUACGGGGCGCAGCAGUGAGGAAUAUUGGUCAAUGGCCGGAAGGCUGAACCAGCCAAGUCGCGUGAGGGAAUAAGGCCCUAUGGGUCUUAAACCUCUUUUGUCAGGGAGCAAAGGCGUCCACGUGUGGACGAGAGGAGAGUACCUGAAGAAAAAGCAUCGGCUAACUCCGUGCCAGCAGCCGCGGUAAUACGGAGGAUGCGAGCGUUAUCCGGAUUUAUUGGGUUUAACGGUUGCGUAGGCUGCGUGUCAAGUCAGCGGUAAAAUUUCGGGUCUCAACCCCGUCGUGCCGUUGCAACUGA